rnacentral:SRP_RNA from 1 species
GCCGGGUGUGGUGGCGUGUGCCUGUAGUCCCAGCUAUUCGGGAGGCUGAGGUGGGAGGAUCGCUUGAGCCCAGGAGUUCUGGGCUGUAGUGAGCUAUGCCGGUCGGGUGUCUGCACUGAGUUCGGCAUCAAUACGGUGACCUCCCGGGAGCGGGGGACCACCAGGUUGCCUAAGGAGGGGUGAACCGGCCCAGGUCAGAAACGGAGCAGGUCAAAACUCCCGUGCUGAUCAGUAGUGGGUUCGUGACUGUGAAUAGCCACUGGACUCCAGCCUGGGCAACAUAGUGAGACCCCUUCUCU